UUUUUUACAUCACAAUUAAUAUUUUGACGGAUUUAAGUUAUAGGAAGUAAAUAUUGUACCCAUCAUUGUUUACUUUUAGAGAGUGCAAUUAUGACCUUUAUGUUUCGAUGCUACUCAAUCAAGAAAUAUAGGAGAGGUGACUCAGAACGUGAUGUUGGUUUCGUAAUUCCCAAAUCAUCAUACGUAAGUCACUUCACAUCAUACGUGUUCAUUGUUUUAUACUUUCUCGGUUAGGGAAAAUCUCUUGUCAUUCCUUCAAGAUUUAUAGUAGAAGUUUGCAGGUUCCUGAGAGUCCAAACCAACGCUGCAAUGUGGCAGGUUUUCAUCAGGACCUACGCACCGUACAUCACCUUCCCUUUUGCCCUGGUCAUCGGCUUCGUUGGGUACAACUUUGAGAACCUCGUACGUGGCGGGAAACAGCAGCCUUACCGGAACAAGAGCAUCCUUGAGGAGCGAGAGGAGAGGAAGUUGGAGGCAAUUGAGGAGAAGGACCCCACGGAAGUGGACAAGUUGAAGGAGAAGAAGUUUGUGCCUCGUUCAGUGUUGGACAAAAACCAGCCGGGCUGGAAGGGUUUGUGAUGACACGCCCAAAAUUGACAACAAGUGCAGGUUGUAGGCAUUGUAGCAUUGCCCAUUGAUGUUUUCCACAGACUUGUUUUUUUCACGCCCUGGCUACUUGGACUGGUAUUGCAUGGUAAUUUUUGGUGCCUAUAUAAUUCAACAAUACAGUUGUGGAAUGCUGCUGGUUUUUGUACUUUAAAAGUAUGAACGUGAUCAUCUGAUGACCAAUCUGAACUAUCCUUAAAAAAAUGUGGGUAUCAAAUGUGAUUUGGACAGCAUAUUGCAGCAGCUUCCUUCCUGUCAGGAUAAGUGUUAGAAAUAGAGAUUAUUUCCAAUUAAUACCAGUGUGAAAAUAAUGUGUCUCAACACAGAUGUAGCUACAAAUUACAGAAUACCCAGCACACAAGAGAUUUCAGCAUCUAAGAUAUUUUGGUUAUCUUCAACGUUUAGUCAUCAAUGUUUUGGUGUUAUGUAUGUAACAUUAUAAUUCUUAUUGAAAAGUAUGAAAUUGUAUUCACUUUGAAACAUCCCACUGUAUAUUUAAUACCACUUGAUGUUACCAGGUCUGGCCUUAACAUUAUCUUGUAGUAUUACCUUAGAAAGUGCAGUACUGUAAUUUGAGACGUCACCACUUAACCAGAUCAAUGCAUGGAAGCUAUUUAAUAUGUCUUUUCCUUGAAUGAGUCAAUGAAACUACAUGUAACAUGUAUUUUUGAUAUACAUGUACCCGGUAAUACUGUAAAUGCAUUUAACUUCCCGGGGAUUUAAUUUCGCGGUAACGGGAAAAGGGACUUUUCGCGGUGGUUUUAAGUUCAUGGUGACGUGGUCACCGCGAAAACCACGAACAUUAAUCCACCGCAAACAUUUCUGCAUUUACAGUACUACAUGUUCUAAGUUAGUGUCCAACCAUUUAUUUAUAGGGCUAUUACUAUAUUGCUGUUAUUGAAGAAUUGUGCGUGGAAACCCUCCUUUGUAACUGAGUUGGUGAAUGGAUCCUUGGUAUGAUUGUAAACAUAAAGUCAUGAAGUUUUUCCUGUACAGUCAAUCCUGCCCAAGCGACCACCCCCCUUCAACUUCAAGCCGACCACCUGGUAAUUAGGACUGCUUUUUCUCGGUCCCAAAAAUUUUCAUUGUCAUAAGCAUUAAGUGACCUUUUCAAUCGACCACCUGGCCACUGCAACAGUAAAAAAUUUGGAUUGCACAGGACCAAAUCACUGCCCAUGACGACCACACCAUUUUCAAGCUUGAGGUGUCAUCUAUUUUUGAUGAUAACUAGCAUGACUUUUGCCGAAAUCGGCCACUAGUUUGCGUUGGAUUUUGACUGCCAUACGAUGUUGUGUUCAAAAUAAAGAUCUCAGUGGAUGCAGGUGGGUGGGUCAUUUGGGGUCAAUGGGGCAGUCUGGUGAUGGAAGCAAAUUUUGUUGUACCAUUUAUGCUAUGCCCAUGGCAUGUGAUACUCUUCACCUGUCCAAAACGACCACUUUUGUCCAGUCCCUCGAGUGGUCGUCUUGAGAUUUGACUGUAUUCAAUAAAUACAUUUGAUCAGUAAACUUAUGGG